CGGACGGGUGAGUAAUGCUUGGGAAUCUGGCUUAUGGAGGGGGAUAACUACGGGAAACUGUAGCUAAUACCGCGUAGUGUCGGGAGACGAAAGUGCGGGACCGAAAGGCCGCAUGCCAUGAGAUGAGCCCAAGUGGGAUUAGGUAGUUGGUGGGGUAAAGGCCUACCAAGCCUGCGAUCUCUAGCUGGUCUGAGGGGAUGGCCAGCCACACUGGAACUGAGACACGGUCCAG
rnacentral:rRNA from 1 species